rnacentral:tRNA from 1 species
GCCCCCGUAGCUCAGCUGGUAGAGCAGCGGAUUCUUAAUCCGCGUGCCGUGGGUUCGAUUCCUACCGGGGGUAUCA